rnacentral:lncRNA from 1 species
GAACACAGCGUGAGCGCGCAUUUUCUAAUGGCUGCUGAUCACUAUUCCAGAAAGGUCAAAGCAAGGCCAACCAGGAUGAGAUGAAAAUGUGUAUCAGGAAUUCAACCAGAUAGUUAGCAAGAAUUAUAUUGGUCUCUUGAUCAUCACUGCCCACAACUGAUUCAGAUCUUCAGGUCACAGAGAGGUCUCACUGGACAGAUUUUUAUCUACUACAAGAUGUCAAGGCCUCUGACCUCACUGACAUGCGAGGUGUUUUCAUUUGAGUGCUUCCAGUAGUUUGAAGCAGUUCUUCAAAGCAUGUUUUGCUUCAGAUGAUGGAGACUCAAAUCAACAUGUGCUCGUUGGAAUUCUUAACCGAGAAAAUGACGAUGUGGCUCUGCAACCCCUGUCCUUCCACCUCCACCCAUCCCCUGUGGGAAUCAUCUUGGAGGGAAAUGUUGUAAUGGACAAUAUAGACAAUAUACCCCAGGCCAUGUGUCUUUUUGGAUCAACCUAUGCACUGCACCUAGGCUACACAAAAUGCAUGGACAAUACCCUUCUUUUUAUUCAACAAGUUUGGGUAAGAAGACGCUGAAGGGUAAGAUUCUGGCUUGUCAUGUAAACUGGUACAAAAAAGGCAUGUUCCUUCAGGCUUGCUGUCCUAACUGUGAGUUAAAAAAAACUUAAAACUAUGCCUUAGUGUUUGGCAAGUGUAAAUAUUCCAUAAUGUUACAAUGUAAUAAUGUCUUGUGGUUGUUUAUUAUUUGGAUAUGUUUGUAAAAAUUUAUUGAAAUAUUUUAAACAAGUGUUUUAAUAAGAUUUAUAACAAUAAAUAUCGACAAAUUGUUAUACAAGGCAUUUUCUUGUUUUGUCACUUGUUUCGGAGUGAUAUUUCUAAAUGGUUUUAAAUAAAGUGUAAAGUAAAUUAUUA